UCAGGGCUGCAGAAGGUUCACUUGAAGGCCUUGGACGGGCAGCGGUACUCCACCCUGGAGAGGCAGUGCUUGCAGAGUGGCCUGCUCUUUGAGACCCCCGCUUCCCCGCCAUCGACCACUCGCCGUCCCACCACGCCAACAGGAUGGGACGCGUGGUGUGGAAGAGGCCUCGGAGCACCGUGUCUGUCUUGCCCGUUAGAGCGUCCCCCCCCCCCCGAUGAGUUCUUCACGCCUGGUCAGCGGCCAUCAAGCGCUUCUCCUCUCCCUUCUGUGGUCCUCUGGUGCAGGCCGGGCGACCGGACGUAUGUUUCAGUGGCAGAUGAUACCGGAUGCAGGGCCUCAGGACUCAGUGAGCCGACCCCCCCUGACAUGAUGCUCAUGGACUACAAAGUGUACAGCUUCUCCCGGAGUGGCCUGAUGAGCUGGUCUCACACUUCCAAUGCUGCUGCAGCUUAAGAACACUCGCGGGUCAGGUAGUUAGCAGCCUUGGAACUGCACACAGGUUUUUUGCAGUGGGCGAACAUUGAGAAAAGGCCACAAUGACUCUGUGGCCCUAAAAGGACUCGAGAUGACGAUGAAAGCUCUUGGGACAAAACGUCCUCAUCCAAAGGGCGCAUCCCAAAGAAGAGGGUCCGACGCCGUCAGAGACUUGACACCGGCGUCAGAGCGCCAUUGCUCGCCCGAUAAGAAAGGCCCGAAAGCUCCGGGCAGCGUGUCAGCGUGACUCGAGCAAUGAGGAAAGACCAAGAGGAAAGGAAGCACAAUCAGAGGAGGCGAGAAGAGGAUUAGCGUUUUGUUUACGCUAAUUGUAGCCUCGGCUAUUUUGGUGUUCUCCUAGUCCGGUAGUAGUUAAGCGCUAUUUGGUGACUCUCUGGUGGGUCUUGUGCUUCCUGUACUUCGGG
ensembl:lncRNA